rnacentral:lncRNA from 1 species
GAUCCGGGCCCCAAAUCGUCGCGGAUUCGGUACACUAUUUCUAUAACUGUUUGCGGAAGAUAUAAACAUAAAUUGUUUAUACAUUACAUUACACACUAUUCCCAAGGUCGAGUAACCUUAACUUAUACACAUUUCAUAAACUAUUUAUUACAUAACAAUAUUUAUCACAAUACACUAUUACAAACUAGCUGCACUUUAUAACCCAAGCUGAACUUGGC